UGGAGGAACAACCCCAGUGGCGGGGCCAGCUCUGAAGCCCUGGAGUCAGCCCCCGCAGUAACUCCGGAGCUCUCGGUCUGCAGGGCCUGGAGGCUCUGGGGCGGG
rnacentral:pre_miRNA from 1 species